rnacentral:rRNA from 1 species
GUCUUUUUGUUAAUAAUUUAAAGUCUGACCUGCCCACUGAAUUUUUAAAGGCCGCGGUAUUUUGACCGUGCGAAGGUAGCAUAAUAAUUAGUUUUUUAAUUGAAAGCUAGAAUGAAUGGUUGAACGAGGAAAAAUCUGUCUCUAUAUUAAUUUAUUAGAAUUUUAUUUUUAAGUUAAAAAGCUUAAAUAAAUUUAAAAGACGAGAAGACCCUAUAGAGUUUUAUAGAUUUAAAGGUUAAGAAAAAGUUGAAUUAUUUAUUUUAUAUUUUUAAAUUUAUUUUGUUGGGGUGAUAGAGAAAUUUAAUAAACUUUCUUUUAUUAAUAACAUUGAUGAAUGAAUUUUUGAUCCAUUUUUUAUGAUUAUAAGAUUAAAUUACCUUAGGGAUAACAGCGUAAUUUCUCUAAAGAGUUCGAAUCGAAAGAGAAGUUUGCGACCUCGAUGUUGGAUUAAAAUUAAUGUUUGGUGUAGGAGCUGAAUAAUUAGGUCUGUUCGACCUUUAAAAUUUU